ACUGCUCAGUAACACGUGGACAAUCUGCCCUGAAGUGGAGAAUAAUCCCGGGAAACUGGGGGUAAUACUCCAUAGUUCGUUAUUACUGGGAUGUUUUUCGAACGAAAGAUCCGUCGCUUCAGGAUGAGUCUGCGGCCGAUUAGGUAGUUGUUGGGGUAACGGCCCAACAAGCCAGUAAUCGGUACGGGUUGUGGGAGCAAGAGCCCGGAGUUGGAUUCUGAGACACGAGUCCAGGCCCUACGGGGCGCAGCAGGCGCGAAAACUUUACAAUGCGGGAAACCGUGAUAAGGGAACUCCGAGUGUCCGUCAAUGCGGACUGUCCGUAUGUUUAAAAAGCAUGCGAAGAAAGGGCCGGGCAAGACCGGUGCCAGCCGCCGCGGUAAUACCGGCGGCUCGAGUGGUGGCCACUAUUACUGGGCUUAAAGCGUUCGUAGCUGGGUUGUUAAGUCUCUUGGGAAAUCUAUCGGCUUAACCGAUAGGCGUCCAAGGGAUACUGGCAAUCUAGGGACCGGGAGAGGUGAGGGGUACUUCAGGGGUAGGAGUGAAAUCCUGUAAUCCUUGGGGGACCACCUGUGGCGUAGGCGCCUCACCAGAACGGACCUGACGGCAAGGGACGAAAGCUAGGGGCACGAACCGGAUUAGAUACCCGGGUAGUCCUAGCCGUAAACGAUACUCGCUAGGUGUCGGCCACGGUGCGACCGUUGUCGGUGCCGUAGGGAAGCCGUGAAGCGAGCCACCUGGGAAGUACGGCCGCAAGGCUGAAACUUAAAGGAAUUGGCGGGGGAGCAC
rnacentral:rRNA from 1 species